CAGUAGCUCAGAGGCAGAGUGUUGGGCUCAUAACCCAAAGGUCCGUGGAUCGAAACC
rnacentral:tRNA from 1 species